GAUGAACGCUGGCGGUCUGCUUAACACAUGCAAGUCGAACGGAAUCCUUCGGGAUUUAGUGGCGGACGGGUGAGUAACACGUGAGAAUCUGCACUCAGGAUGGGGACAACAGCGGGAAACUGCUGCUAAUACCCAAUGUGCCGAAAGGUAAAAGAUUUAUCGCCUGAGAAUGAGCUCGCGGCCGAUUAGUUAGUUGGUGGGGUAAUGGCCUACCAAGACGGCGAUCGGUAGCUGGUCUGAGAGAAUGAGCAGCCACACUGGGACUGAGACACGGCCCAGACUCCUACGGGAGGCAGCAGUGGGGAAGUUUCCGCAAUGGGCGCAAGCCUGACGGAGCAAGACCGCGUGGGGGAGGAAGGCUCUUGGGUUGUAAACCCCUUUUCUCAAGGAAGAACAAAAUGACGGUACUUGAGGAAUCAGCCUCGGCUAACUCCGUGCCAGCCGCCGCCGUAACAC
rnacentral:rRNA from 1 species